AAUGAACGCUGGCGGCGUGGAUUAGGCAUGCAAGUCGAACGCGAAAGUUCCCUUCGGGGAGCGAGUAGAGUGGCGAAAGGGUGAGUAAUGCUUGGAUGACCUGCCCUCGAGACGGGGACAACAGUUCGAAAGGACUGCUAAUACCCGAUAGUCCGGUUUAGAUGCGUCUAGAUCGGUAAAUGGUGCUUCCGCUCGAGAGGGGUUCAAGUCCUAUCAGCUUGUUGGUGAGUAACGGCUCACCAAGGCGAUGACGGGUAGCCGGAUGAGAGGUUGGCCGGCCACAUGGGAACUGAGACACUGUCCUGACUCCUACGGGAGGCUGCAGUCGAGAAUCUCUGCAAUGGGCGAAAGCCUGACAGA
rnacentral:rRNA from 1 species